rnacentral:rRNA from 1 species
AUUGUAUGGAAGCAUACGGCUAGUGGGACCUACUCGGCGGCAUCUGCUUACAAGGCGCAAUUCUUAGGGAUGGUUCUCACACCUUUGGAUAAAAUGGUUUGGAAGGCUUGGGCCCCCCCAAAAGUCAAGUUCUUCGCU